rnacentral:rRNA from 1 species
UGGCUCAGGAUGAACGCUGGCGGCAGGCUUAACACAUGCAAGUCGAGGGGCAGCGUGGAGUAGCAAUACUCUGACGGCGACCGGCGAAAGGGUGAGUAACGCGUGAGCAACAUGCCCGUAGGUGGAGGAUAGUCGAUGGAAACGUCGUGUAAUACUCCGUAACAACAGAGACCGCAUGGUUUUUGUUUAAUAGAUUCAUUGCCUACGGAUUGGCUCGCGUACCAUUAGCUAGUUGGUGAGGUAACGGCCCACCAAGGCGACGAUGGUUAGGGGUUCUGAGAGGAAGGUCCCCCACAUUGGAACUGAGACACGGUCCAGACUCCUACGGGAGGCAGCAGUGGGGAAUA